ensembl:lncRNA
AGCUGGAGGAGCGUUCGCUGGGAAAUCGAUGGCCGCUGGACUGCUGUUAAGAGGAGUUUAAUUGCAAAUAAAAGAGGAUUUAUCACUGCUGCCGCGUGUUCUCUGUGAGCUGCUUUAGAAGAGUAGGGGAAGGGGAAGCAGAGCUCCAGAUUGGGAGGAUUUUUGGAGCUGUGAUUGGAGCAAAUCCUGGAAGAGGCCUUAAAUGGGAACUGAAGUCUUGGAUCUUUGUUGUUUUCGCUGGAAUGAAGACAAAAUGAGAUGUUCUGAA